GGCCACUUAGCUCAGCUGGUAGAGCGUGCACGUACAAAGCGUAGGCGGCUUCCUUGCGAGGGUUCGAAUCCCACUGAGGCUU
rnacentral:tRNA from 1 species